CUGGGUUUCUACCUCACAUACACACAAACUGAAAAACACAAGCUUCCCUCUCUCUCUUCUUCUCAAAGUUUCAAACUUUGAUAAUCAAAGUCCCCAAUUCCAUCAUCAAUUCUCAAACUCACUAUGACUAAACAUUUUUCCUUAACUUAGUACUCAGAACCUUCUCCGUUGCCAUGCCCUCCCGCCAACUCCUCCCACCGCCGCCUUCCCCCGUGGACUUCCAGAAACUAACACCCAAGCUCCCUCACCGCCGCCACCACCACCACCGCAGUAUCCUUCUUCCGCUUAUCANNNN
rnacentral:lncRNA from 1 species